CCUACGGGAGGCAGCAGUGGGGAAUUUUGGACAAUGGGCGAAAGCCUGAUCCAGCAAUGCCGCGUGAGUGAAGAAGGCCUUCGGGUUGUAAAGCUCUUUUGUCAGGGAAGAAACGGUGAGGGCUAAUAUCUCUUGCUAAUGACGGUACCUGAAGAAUGAGCACCGGCUAACUACGUGCCAGCAGCCGCGGUAAUACGUAGGGUGCAAGCGUUAAUCGGAAUUACUGGGCGUAAAGCGUGCGCAGGCGGUUUUGUAAGUCUGUCGUGAAAUCCCCGGGCUCAACCUGGGAAUUGCGAUGGAGACUGCAAGGCUAGAAUCUGGCAGAGGGGGGUAGAAUUCCACGUGUAGCAGUGAAAUGCGUAGAGAUGUGGAGGAACACCGAUGGCGAAGGCAGCCCCCUGGGUCAAGAUUGACGCUCAUGCACGAAAGCGUGGGGAGCAAACAGGAUUAGAUACCCUGGUAGUCCACGCCCUAAACGAUGUCUACUAGUUGUCGGGUUUUAAUUAACUUGGUAACGCAGCUAACGCGUGAAGUAGACCGCCUGGGGAGUACGGUCGCAAGAUUAAAACUCAAAGUGAGUGAGNGNGAGAGNGCGAGACGACGACGAGGGAGGAGG
rnacentral:rRNA from 1 species